ensembl:lncRNA
AACAGGCAGUGGCUUACCUUGAUUUCGGGUGGUGAUUCCACCCAGCAGUUCCUUCCAGAAACCUUUACCCGUCAAGCGACUUGUACCAAUAUUUGGAGAGUAGACACGCAUGCCCUCGGGCUGUGUUCACAAAAGACUCUUGGUAUCCACUUUCUGAACGGCUCCUGUAACAAGUUACCCCAAAAUGGAUGGCCUGAAACCACGGGAACUUAGUCCCUCACAAUUCUGGAAACCAGAAAUCCAGAAUCAAGGUAAUGUGUGGGUGAGACAUUUUCCACGGGCAUCCUCAGCAUCAGAGAGAAGACCCAAAGCAGGUGUGGCCAGGCAAGAAGCUGGCUGUUCACACCUGCGUGAGGCUGGUCCCCAGGACACAGGCUGGAACCAGAGUUCCACCUCAGAUCAUCAGGCAUCAGACCCUGGAGGUUGGGGACCCCUGAUUUACUGGAUGCUGGAAGACAGAAGGACCAUGGUGGGAGCCUGGGGUCGGGGAAGGCACAUGCCUUAUGCUGAUCGUCUUCUCAGAAGGACACACGAGGAAGCCAGCUGCAGGCGCCGACCCAAGAGCUCGCAUGGACCCCAGGGUCUGGGUGGCUGCUUGGCGGGGGGGCCGACAUGGAGGGGUUUGGAGGAUGUGUACAGUGGUGGGGCACGCAGAUGGAAACAUGAGUUUCCUAGGG